UACGUAGGGGGCGAGCGUCGUCCGGAAUUAUUGGGCGUAAAGCGCGCGCAGGCGGUCUUUUAAGUCCGGAGUUUAAGCCCAGGGCUCAACCUUGGGACGCUUUGGAAACUGGGAGACUGGAGUGCAGGAGAGGAGAGCGGAAUUCCACGUGUAGCGGUGAAAUGCGUAGAGAUGUGGAGGAACACCAGUGGCGAAGGCGGCUCUCUGGCCUGUAACUGACGCUGAGGCGCGAAAGCGUGGGGAGCAAACAGG
rnacentral:rRNA from 1 species